UGCCUGGAGUGAAGAUUCUGCCCAUUGGUCAAGAGACCUCCCUCUCAGAUGCUGGCUCUGCCCCUGCCUUUGGGGGUCGACCCUUGUACUCGCAGGACCUUAGGUGACUCUGACUUUGUCAAAGGAAAAAUUUCUGCAUGUGCACACACAGAUCUUGGAAGUUUAUUCAUCUCAGCAGAGGCAGACAGGAGCAUCAACAGCCUUGGGGACAGCAGCAGUGGUGAUUCUACUUCUCUGAUCAUCCAGGAAGCCAACCUGCCUGAGGACGAGUCAUACUCUGUCCUCCCACCCCAGGCCAGAGAGUGGUAUCUGUCUUUCCACAAGUUGGAUCUGAAUGAUGCAGUGUCGCAAUCCCAUUUUAUAAAUGAGGCAACCAAAACUCGAACAGGACCAUAUUGCGACUGAAACAAGGCAUAACAGGUCUUUGACUGGCUAUCCUGUGGAUGUGGACUCAGGCUAGCCUGCGCAAAGUGAAAGACAGGCAAUUAGAUUGAAAAAUACCUGUGAUUCAAAGAAGUCACAAGUCACAGAGACAAACUUUUCCCAGUGUGUUCGAGUCAGAGAACCUUUGCAAAGACCAACAGGCUAAAAGAGAAAAUACAAUGUCAUAUGGAGAAGCUUUGAGAACACUAUGCUAAGUGAAAGAAGCCAGA
rnacentral:lncRNA from 1 species